CACGUAGGGCGCAAGCGUUGUCCGGAAUUAUUGGGCGUAAAGAGCUCGUAGGCGGCUUGUCACGUCGAUUGUGAAAGCCCGAGGCUUAACCUCGGGUCUGCAGUCGAUACGGGCUAGCUAGAGUGUGGUAGGGGAGAUCGGAAUUCCUGGUGUAGCGGUGAAAUGCGCAGAUAUCAGGAGGAACACCGGUGGCGAAGGCGGAUCUCUGGGCCAUUACUGACGCUGAGGAGCGAAAGCGUGGGGAGCAAACAGG
rnacentral:rRNA from 1 species